UGGGGAAUUUUGGACAAUGGGGGCAACCCUGAUCCAGCCAUGCCGCGUGUGUGAAGAAGGCCUUCGGGUUGUAAAGCACUUUCGGACGGAACGAAAUCGCACGGGUGAAUAUCCCGUGUGGAUGACGGUACUGUAAGAAGAAGCACCGGCUAACUACGUGCCAGCAGCCGCGGUAAUACGUAGGGUGCGAGCGUUAAUCGGAAUUACUGGGCGUAAAGCGUGCGCAGGCGGCUUUGCAAGUCAGACGUGAAAUCCCCGGGCUUAACCUGGGAAUGGCGUUUGAAACUACGGAGCUGGAGUGUGGCAGAGGGAGGUAGAAUUCCACGUGUAGCGGUGAAAUGCGUAGAUAUGUGGAGGAAUACCGAUGGCGAAGGCAGCCUCCUGGGCCAACACUGACGCUCAUGCACGAAAGCGUGGGGAGCAAACAG
rnacentral:rRNA from 1 species